GUCCUAGUAUAGCAUCUAUACGGUGAACUGCGAAUGGCUCAUUAAAUCAGUUAUCGUUUAUUUGAUAGUACCUUACUACUUGGAUAACCGUGGUAAUUCUAGAGCUAAUACAUGCUAAAAACCCCGACUUCGGAAGGGGUGUAUUUAUUAGAUAAAAAACCAAUGCCCUUCGGGGCUCCUUGGUGAUUCAUAAUAACUUAACGAAUCGCAUGGCCUUGUGCCGGCGAUGGUUCAUUCAAAUUUCUGCCCUAUCAACUUUCGAUGGUAGGGUAGUGGCCUACCAUGGUUUCAACGGGUAACGGGGAAUUAGGGUUCUAUUCCGGAGAGGGAGCCUGAGAAACGGCUACCACAUCCAAGGAAGGCAGCAGGCGCGCAAAUUACCCAAUCCCGACACGGGGAGGUAGUGACAAUAAAUACUGAUACAGGGCUCUUUUGGGUCUUGUAAUUGGAAUGAGUACAAUUUAAAUCCCUUAACGAGGAACAAUUGGAGGGCAAGUCUGGUGCCAGCAGCCGCGGUAAUUCCAGCUCCAAUAGCGUAUAUUAAAGUUGUUGCAGUUAAAAAGCUCGUAGUUGAACCUUGGGCCUGGCUGGCCGGUCCGCCUCACCGCGUGCACUGGUCCGGCCGGGUCUUUCCUUCUGGGGAGCCGCAUGCCCUUCACUGGGUGUGUCGGGGAACCAGGACUUUUACUUUGAAAAAAUUAGAGUGUUCAAAGCAGCCUAUGCUCGAAUACAUUAGCAUGGAAUAAUAGAAUAGGACGUGUGGUUCUAUUUUGUUGGUUUCUAGGACCGCCGUAAUGAUUAAUAGGGAU
rnacentral:rRNA from 1 species